AAAAAAUGUUUUCUUCCUAAAAAGCGUCUACCACACAGAUUUGACUAGACGGUGUUGCCGUAUUUCAGCGUCCAAGAUGGCCGCCGCGAUGGGCAUGCGCAGUCGACAAAAAUACGAAUCUGGCAGAAAUACAGAUCUGGCAGCCAC